rnacentral:lncRNA from 1 species
AUUGUAUUUCUAUUAGUCAGCACUUGUAUGGAGAAGAGAGAUUUUUUAAAUGCCUUAAAGGAGAAGAAGCUUUUGCUUCUUGGGCUACCCAGAAAGCUAGCCAGCUGCUAGUCCUUCAUCAGGAAAAUGGCAGUGUCAAUGUGCUGUAGUCAGCCCCUGAUGUCACAUUUUGCUGCUUGUGACUUACUGUGUUUGACCCAUCUCAGCUGCUCCAUAAAUAUGUGUUGAAUUGAUAUUGACUUACAGUUGCAUUUCACUGGCUUAUGAAUCAGGAAUUUUGAGUCCUGCCUUCAGCUCUGCCUCUAACUAGCUCUGUGACCUUGCACAAAUCACAUCCCCUUUACUUGUCUCAGUUUUUCCCUUUGUAAAAUGAGGGAAUUUAAUAUGGUGAUUAAAUAAUCUCCAGUUCAGACAUGCUGUGGUUCUAUCGUGUGGCUCUACCUGGCAGUUAGAAUUUCCAUUUCUAAAGUGGCACAGAAGUUUUUACUCUAAUCAAGAUGACUUUAGUUUGCAUGCGUCUGCCCCCUGUGACUGAUUAUUCCUUUUUUCGUGAAUAUGUUAACACAGUCAGCUUCUGGAACCUGCAAGGAACCACCCUUCUGUGAUCCUUACCUGUGGCUGUGCACAGGUGGUGCUUUGUGAUGCCAAACACCCCAGGGCUACCAUUGGCUGGAGGAAUUUCCUGCUGACCAAUCAAAGCUAAAGGGCGUGGCUCCCCAUUGUCCCUGGAGGGUAUAUAAAGGGCUCAGGGGCCCUGGAGAGGGCCAGUGUUGCUACAGCAUGGCGGAGGUUAUUGAGGCAGUGCUGGGGUCUAAUUCAGAUGCUGAAAACAAAACCGAAACCACAGAUGUAAAGGAAGUUCCAGAAAUCAAAGAGAGGAAGACCCCUUGUCAAUCAAAGGACAAAGAACGUGAGAAGGUGCGGAAGAUACUUGCAAAAGUUAAAUCGGCCCUUCAGGACAACGUAGAAAAGCGUAAGAAAGGAAGGAAAUCGACCAUACUGGUCUGUUACCGCAGACACAGCAAAAUGAAGACUGAAAAUCAGCUGAAGAUGAAGACGGAGGAAGAAAGCCUGUCCCCACUCUGGGCAACACCCUAUGCCUGCCAGGGGCCAAAGAUCUCAAAGUAGCUGGUACCUCCCCAGAAAAAGCACUGGCGAGACGGAUGCUUAGGUAGAGAUCAAAAUUUUCACGGUGGUCACCUGUGAGGAGACCAAAUGAAGUGCACGGAUAUUGAUUAAAACAACAAGUUGCAAAUGGAGAUGUGUGUAUGUGUCUUUGUGUUCUCUGAUGGUGAGAGGGGAAAGGAAAGGGGCAAGUGUAUGAAAAGGGAGG